rnacentral:rRNA from 1 species
AUGAAUGAGGACUUGGCAGCAAAUUUUUCAAAAAAGAAUAGAGGAAAAUUCUUUGAUGAAAAUGUGUGGCCUUGUUCUUUGACAUAUAGCUUGAAGAAACACAACUACCAUCUGAGGCGGUUGUAUAGCAAGGAAGGUGCCAAACAAUACCUAGAGGAGCAUCACAGUAAGUUGUGGGCCAGGGCGCUAUUCGAUGAGACUUGCAAACUAGAUUAUGUUAAUAAUAAUCUUGCUGAGUCUUUCAAUUCCAAGAUUAAAAAAUGGGAAGGUUUGCACAUUGUGGAUUUGCUUGACAAGGUAAGGCAGUAUCUUACGGAGAAGUUUGCCAUAAGACAACAAAUUGCAGCUGCCACAUUUAGUGGCCACAUUAUAAUUCCCAAAGUCAUGAAGCUGUUACAUGCAAAAUCUAAAGACCUAGAUAUGGCUAUGCUGAUGAGAAGCAUAUAUGAAGUAGAGGUGACAGCAAUUGACAAGGAAAAAGAGAGUGAAGAUAUCAUGUUAAUUUGGAAACUAGAACGUGUACUUGCAGAAAGUGGCAACUAA